GUCUAAAAAUACAUCAGUUUCCUGUGUGGACAACACUAGCAUUCUGAACUACGGCAUGUCUAAACCUCUUUCCAGGAUUACUUGCCUUCCCCCAAACAUUCUGGAAGAAAUUCAUAUUCAUACAACACCAUAGUCCACAAGUUUGUGUUACCUCUACCAGUCUAACGUGGCUGUUAAUUUUCAAAAGACAGUAGUAGAUCUAUUUACAAGUAGGAUAUUCCUAUAUCUCAAUCCUGCUGUAACCUUGCACCUUCUGAACCUGAUUCUGGACCAUCUUCCU
rnacentral:lncRNA from 1 species